UCCAUGUGUGAUAGCCGGCGGGCGUUGCAUGGUCGGGGUUGUGGGACUUUCCAUACCAGUUCUGCCGGGCUGGUGGGGUGUGAUGUGCGUGCAUAGGUGAACGGUUUUGAAAGGCCGGCCAGAGAGGGUGUUAGCCCCGUAACCGUAAUGUUUUGUACCGCCUGUGAGAGUAUCCCAAGUAGUACGGGGCCCGAGAAAUCCCGUGCGAAUCUGUCAGGACCACCUGAUAAGCCUAAAUACUCCCUAAUGACCGAUAGCGGACCAGUACCGUGAGGGAAAGGUGAAAAGUACCCCGGGAGGG
rnacentral:rRNA from 1 species